UGAGGAAUAUUGAGCAAUGGGCGCAAGCCUGACUCAGCAACGCCGCGUGGAUGAAGAAGGCCUUCGGGUUGUAAAAUCCUUUUCUGGGGGAAGAUGAUGACGGUACCCCAGGAAGAAGCACCGGCUAACUACGUGCCAGCAGCCGCGGUAAUACGUAGGGUGCAAGCGUUGCCCGGAUUUAUUGGGCGUAAAGGGCGCGUAGGCGGCUCGGCACGUCCGUUGUGAAAUCGCCCGGCUCAACUGGGCGGGGUCAGCGGAUACGGUCGAGCUUGAGCAAGCUAGGGGGCAAUGGAAUUCCCGGUGUAGUGGUGGAAUGCGUAGAUAUCGGGAGGAACACCAGUGGCGAAGGCGGUUGCCUGGGGCUUUGCUGACGCUGAUGCGCGAAAGCGUGGGGAGCGAUCCGGAUUAGAUACCCGGGUAGUCCACGCCGUAAACGAUGCGGACUAGGUGUCGGGGGGUAUCGACCCCCUCGGCGCCGCAGCUAACGCACUAAGCCCGCCGCCUGGGGACUA
rnacentral:rRNA from 1 species